rnacentral:misc_RNA from 1 species
ACAUAGCCUUGCCAAGCCCUGACUCACUUCCGCUCUCGCCCUCUUCUCCCCUCUGCCCACCACCCGCCUCGCUCCUCGUCAGCUGUGCUGCGCAGUGUCGACCGCCUUAUCGCUCUUUCUCCCGUUCACAUCCGUGUUGCCCUUGUCUGCUUUCGGCGUUGCGGAGCCGCGCAAAUGGCGUGCAACAUCAGUAUUGCCAUCUACAUCAUCCUCCAGUUCAUCGCGUUCUUUUUCGUGCUGGUGGGUACGCCGCUCGACAUGUUUCGCGGCACGAACAAGGAGGUUGCGUUCUCGCAUUUCUGCUUGACGUUGUGGGGCGCAAAAUGGGGCUGCUCCAACAGUUCGUACUUUCUCAAGUCGGACGAGGUGUGGACGAAUUGUACGGGCCGCCGCAACCGCUUCCGCGCUGCUCAGGCAUUGGCUGUGAUCUCCAUCUUCCUGUAUGGCGCGGCGUUCGUCUUGGGCAUCUUUUUUCUGCUCUGCUGCCCUUUCUUUCGCUGGGUGUGCCUGGUUCUCAACAUCGUUGGCAUCUUCUCCUUGGGCAUUGUCUGGGCGGCCGUGGUGUUGACUCACUACGCAGAUGAGGAUGACCAUUGCCCCAAGAUGGAGCGCUUCUUUAAGUUGGGCGUCGGCUUCGCUUUCUUCUUGGUGGCCUGGUGCCUGGAUAUCAUCAACAUCUUCUUAUUGAUGAUCCGGUGCGAGGAUCAGAAGUUUGGCGAGAGUGGGAAUCCGGGAUUAUAUACAACAGGCGGACAGGAGGAACUGAAGUGAAGGAGGUGGCGGGCAAACUACUUCGGCUCCGCGGGCUUCUCCGUACAGACGCCAUGGGGUGGGGGAUCCGGCGGAGCUGAUGUCUGCGCGAGAAGGGAGGGAAGACGCGGACUCUCGUCGCUGCUUCUCGCCGCCUCACCUCUCGCGCUGCCGUCUCUCGCGUGUGUGCGUCCUCCCACGCGCGUCUGCUUGGGGGGCUUUUCGGCUUCCUCGCGUGCAAGGUAACCUGCGCUGUGUGGUGGGCAACGCACGCCUGGCGCCGGCAGGCCCACCCACGCCCCGUUCCCCCCCCUGAGCCCCUCGCCCUCGCUGCCGUGUCGGAGUCGCCCGUCUGACGCUCGCCCGGCGCUCCGUUGGCGAUGUGAAGGAGCGAAGGACGACGCGGGACGGUGACACGUGCGCUGCAGGCCUGGAAACGGCGGCGUGGAGGGGGAGCGAAGGAGGGGCAGGUGACCGAGGUGGACACGGAGGACAAACGUGGCGGUGUGGAGAAACGGACGCCCUCGCACGGAGGACGGGAGGCGCCACGCCACGCUGCAUCGGUCGCCCGCCCCCUCCACACCCCGCAGUCGCGAUGGCGCGUCUUCCUGGUGUGUCUCCCUCGCGCCGCCUUUGGCCCCCGUCGCUGCCGCUGCGACUCCCCCGCGCCCCUGGCGGCACACCCGCGAGGGGAAGAGGCAGCACAGCGGCGCGAAGAUGCAGGCCGAGCACAGUCUCCCCCGCACCCCCCCCCCUCCACACGCACGCGCAUAUGCUGCCGUUUUUUUUGUUUCUCUUUCCGUGUUUUCGCUUCGUUUGACAUUCGCAUGUUUCUUUUGAUUUCUCUCGUUUUCGUCUCUCUCCCUAUGCAGAGAAGAGCCGCAUGGACGUGUGCGUGUGCGUGCCCCUCUGCCGUUUUCCCGUUGUGUCUCCGUGCCGCUGCCCUGCUCCUCGUCUUCCCCGCCCCCUCCCUGCGCGCGUGUGUGUGUGCGAGGGCGGCUGAUCGAGGGGACGACGAGGUGGAGAGCAGCCGCGGCACCGCAGCGCUGGGGAUACAUGGGGAGUGUGCAGGAGCAGCGGAGGAGAGGCACGCACACGCACUCUGGCAAGGGAGCGAUGACGCGGAGGCCGCAGGGGAAUACGCAGCGGAGCGAGUGGGUACGGAGGCGGAGCGGAGGCGAGGCAGUGUUGCUUCUCUGUUCGCCCCGCUUGCGUUCGACUCGAGUGUGUCUGCGUGUGCGUCCCCUGCGGCCCUCGGGCCCCUCGCCUCUCUUGCGCGCUUCGCUUCGUUUGUUUCGUUGCUGUGGCUGUCUAACUACACUUUCGAGUCGGCCAGAGUCCCGUGUGGAGAUUAUUCACACCAUAUUACGGCAUGCGGCGGCUUGAGGCGACCGAGGGAGGGGCAUGGCGUGCAGGCGGAGCACAAGGUGUCAGAGGGCCCUGGCCUGCGGCUGGCCCACCUCCUCUCUGUGCUCAUGCGGCACGCGCCUACACCAGCCCCUGCGGCCAGCACGGCUGACGUCGCCGCCUCCGCCCUCGAGGAGGAAGCCUGGCCGCGGCCUGCCUGGACCGAUGCAUGCCGCCCACCCGGGUCUGCGUCUGGCGCCGCUAGCGCCGCAGGUGCCCGAGGAAUGGACGAGCAAAGACAAGGCGGGCCGCUAGCGGCAUGGCUCGAUACCCCAGCAGACGACUUGUCUUCGCCGGCGCGGAUGUAGCCGUGGUGCAACAGAGGGGCGUGUGAGCUGUGCGCGAAUGCGUACAUGUGCCGACUUGCCCGUCGCGGAGUAAGAUUUUUAUAUUUAAAUACGCUGUUUUUCCUGGCAAACACGCGUAGCAGAAACUAGUAAGUGCAGCGGCAUGGCGACGAGUAUACAUAUACACUAUACACAUAUGUCUAUCUGUAUCUAGAGCGCUGCACCGUCAAUCCGUCAAAACGCCACGCACUUUGUUUUCCCCGCCGACCACCGCCCCCUGUGCUCGCCCGAGCGGGCGGAGCGCGUGCGCGUGCGUCCCUCUCUCCUCGCGCUUCUCCGUUGCUUGCUUUUUGCUUUCUGUCAUUAUUGUCUCCGUUCCUCGACUGACUCACCCCAACAGCGUCACCGCCGCCGUUGCCGCCCCAUCUUCUCCGAGAGGGGAGGAGCAGGGGGAGCGCCGAGCAUGCUUUUUCUCUUAUUAUCCCGCUGAUGUAUUUCGUGUCUAGCGGAGAUUGCGUUUUCGGGUGUUGGUGUGGGGGUGGCGGUGUGUGUGUGUGCUCUCUCUCGUUGCCUAUGUUGAGUAUUGAUAAUCGUGGAAAGGCUAGGCUUGUGCAGAGUUCAAGUGAAAGGUGAACAGCAACAAUAGCAUAAAAAAAGAUCGUUGCAGGAUGUAAAUAAGUUUAUUGCGAAACCAUGAAAAGGGAGUGCAGGCAUAUAGUGUGUAAUGCGAGAAGUGUGUGUCUCGGGGGAGUCCCCCUUUUUUUCCUCGGAACUAAAAAAAUAGUUUACACAGGUGGCGACAAUAGCUGCUGAAAAACAGGGAAGAAAGUUGUUUUCAAGUAGUAGGAGCCUGCGUCUGCGCGUCGUUCUCUGUGUUUCUCUCUUUUCGGCUUGAGCGUCCUUAUAGUAUAUAUAUAUAUAUAUACAUAUGAGGUAGUUGUUUAACCGUUUUGCUGUCCGCAUUCAUGUGGCUUUUCGCUGUCUCCUUUUUUUUUCCUUGUUUGUGAGGAUGUUGUUCGCCUACGCAGGACAGUGGCAGAAAGCGGAACAACGAAGAAAAAGCACUGAUGAAGGGAAGAGCGACACGGGCGAGGGGAGACGCCGAGAAAAGACGAACACUUAACGAAGAGAGCAAAUAGGCUGACCUAUGAUCCUUUCACCCCUCCCCCUCUCCUUACUUCCUCAAAGAAAGCUGAAAACAUACACCUGCCCAAGGGAAUGGACCAAGCUAGAGACGAUGCCGCUGCAGACAUGUGUGCCUGUAGCGAAUGGAGAGAAAAUGGUAGUGGAAGGUAGAAAGGGAAGAGGAGUGAAGCUAUCUAGCAAGGAAAGACGGAGGCGAUCGGGCGGAUGGUGGACUUUUGCUUGUGCAUGUGUGGUCGGGUGGGGAGAAAGCCGAGGAAAUAGGCGAGGAGCAGGGGAGGGGGGGACGGAAAAGGAGCGGCCAUCAUGCUGCUUCAUCUCCCUGCCUGUUUGCUUCCUCUGUCUUCCUGUUUCUUUCCCCCUUGCGCACUUUGCCCCCUACACCUCCUCACGUCUGCUUUCGCUCGCGCCGCAGUGUUCGAGACCUCUCCUUUCACCUAACCUUGGCUCCCGCGUACUCCUUCCCUUUUCUCUCUAUGCGGUGUCGCAUUUUCGUUCGAAGAUGUGGAACACAUGCUCACGCCUCUCUGCACGGCUUUGAAGCCCCUCCUUGUAUCUCUCUUUUCGCAUCUUCUUUCUCCUCUUUCUCCACACGUGCGUACGUUUCGUGAUGGCGCUCUUUCACACGAAUCUCUCUCUAUCGUUACACCAUGAACGUGCAUGCACUCCCCCUCUCCCCCUUGCCAUGUACUCAUUCAAUGCACCAUCCUACACUUACGUAUUGGGCGUCUCCCAG